rnacentral:rRNA from 1 species
CUACGGGGUGCUGCAGUGAGGAAUAUUGCACAAUGGAGGAAACUCUGAUGCAGCAACGCCGCGUGGAGGAUGACACUUUUCGGAGCGUAAACUCCUUUUAUAUAGGAAGAAGAUGACGGUACUAUAUGAAUAAGCGCCGGCUAACUCCGUGCCAGCAGCCGCGGUAAUACGGAGGGCGCAAGCGUUACUCGGAAUCACUGGGCGUAAAGAGCGUGUAGGCGGAUUAAAAAGUCAGAAGUGAAAUCCUAUAGCUUAACUAUAGAACUGCUUCUGAAACUCUUAAUCUAGAAUAUGGGAGAGGUAGAUGGAAUUGCUGGUGUAGGGGUAAAAUCCGUAGAGAUCAGAAGGAAUACCGAUUGCGAAGGCGAUCUACUAGAACAUUAUUGACGCUGAGACGCGAAAGCGUGGGGAGCAAACAGGAUUAGAUACCCUUGUAGUC